rnacentral:tRNA from 1 species
GGGGCCAUAGCUCAGUUGGGAGAGUGCCUGCUUUGCAAGCAGGAGGUCGGCGGUUCGAUCCCGCCUGGCUCCA